rnacentral:rRNA from 1 species
GACGAACGCUGGCGGCGUGCUUAACACAUGCAAGUCGAGCGAGUGGAUUCCCUUCGGGGAUGAAGCUAGCGGCGGACGGGUGAGUAACACGUGGGCAACCUGCCUUAUAGAGGGGGAUAGCCUUCCGAAAGGAAGAUUAAUACCGCAUAACAUCAGAUUAUCGCAUGGUAGACUGAUCAAAGGAGCAAUCCGCUAUAAGAUGGGCCCGCGUCGCAUUAGCUAGUUGGUGAGGUAACGGCUCACCAAGGCGACGAUGCGUAGCCGACCUGAGAGGGUGAUCGGCCACAUUGGGACUGAGACACGGCCCAGACUCCUACGGGAGGCAGCAGUGGGGAGUAUUGCACAAUGGGGGAAACCCUGAUGCAGCAACGUCGCGUGAGUGAUGAAGGCCUUCGGGUUGUAAAGCUCUUUGAUCAGGGACGAUAAUGACGGUACCUGAAGAACAAGCCACGGCUAACUACGUGCCAGCCGCCGCAGUAACAC